rnacentral:lncRNA from 1 species
AAAAUAAAAGGUCUAUGGACUUUAAAGUUUGGCUAUUUAUUUGGGUUAAAGUUUUCAAAUAAAUUAAUCAAUUAAUUAAUACAAUUGGUUUGGUUUAGUUUGGUUCGGUUCGAUUUUUUGAGACAUGGAACUGUAAUCAGAUUCGGUCUGUUUCGGUUUUUUCAAUUGAUUUUGACUUUUUAAUAAAAUUGGUUUUUUCUAGCUUUUUCCGGUCCAAUAUGGUUCAGUUGAACGAUUCUUCAGUUCCAAUGCCCACCCCUAG